AUGGUGGUGGAUAUGGAUGUGGUUGUUAUGGUGCAGAUGGCCAUGGUCAUGGUCAUGGUUAUGGACAUGGAUACGGAUAUGGAUAAGGAUAUGGGGAUGGUGGCGCACGAGGCCGUGUGUCAGCGGCUCCGUCAGCGCUGUCUGUCCUUCCCCACAGGGCUGAUGGCAGCCGUGACGUUGGACGAGUCCGGGGGUGGCCUCCAGACGCCCGGAGGAAGCCUCACCCUCGUCUGCAAGGCCUCCGGAUUCACCUUCAGUGAUCAUUGGAUGGAAUGGAUGCGCCAGGCACCCGGCAAGGGGCCGGAAUGGGUCGCAGGUAUUGAGAAUGAUGGUAGUAGAACAGGCUACGCGUCGGCGGUGAAGGGCCGUGCCACCAUCUCGAGGGACAGCAAUGAGAGCACAGUGAAGCUGCAGCUGAACAGCCUCAAGGCUGAGGACAGCGCCACCUACUACUGCGCGAAAAGUGCUGGUAGUUGUAGUUAUGGUGCUUAUUAUGGUGGUGUUCACCACGCUGGUUACAUCGACGUCGCUGUUCCUUUCCUGCUCUCCAGCACAGCCACGUGUGGGAACUCAGCUCCGCGUGUGGGGCAGAGCGGCUCACUGACCCCCACCUCCCUGUGUUGA